rnacentral:rRNA from 1 species
CUGGGGAGAAGACAACAGGGAUUGCCCCAGUAACGGCGAGUGAAGCGGCAACAGCUCAAAUUUGAAAUCUGGCCCCUCCGGGUCCGAGUUGUAAUUUGUAGAGGAUGCUUUUGGUGAGGUGCCGCCCGAGUUCCCUGGAACGGGACGCCACAGAGGGUGAGAGCCCCGUCUGGCUGGCCACCGAGCCUCUGUAAAGCUCCUUCGACGAGUCGAGUAGUUUGGGAAUGCUGCUCAAAAUGGGAGGUAUAUGUCUUCUAAAGCUAAAUAUUGGCCAGAGACCGAUAGCGCACAAGUAGAGUGAUCGAAAGAUGAAAAGCACCUUGAAAAGAGGGUUAAACAGUACGUGAAAUUGUUGAAAGGGAAGCGCUUGUGACCAGACUUGGGCGCGGCGGAUCAUCCGGGGUUCUCUCCGGUGCACUUCGCCGCGUUCAGGCCAGCAUCAGUUCGUCGCGGGGGAAAAAGGCUUCGGGAACGUGGCUCCUCCGGGAGUGUUAUAGCCCGUUGCAUAAUACCCUGCGGUGGACUGAGGACCGCGCAUCUGCAAGGAUGCUGGCGUAAUGGUCACCAGCGACCCGUCUUGAAACACCGGACCCAAUGAGACGAGCUAAAAG